GACGAACGCUGGCGGCGUGCUUAACACAUGCAAGUCGAACGGAAAGGCCCUGCUUUUGUGGGGUGCUCGAGUGGCGAACGGGUGAGUAACACGUGAGUAACCUGCCCUUGACUUUGGGAUAACUUCAGGAAACUGGGGCUAAUACCGGAGAGGAGCUCCUGCUGCAUGGUGGGGGUUGGAAAGUUUCGGCGGUUGGGGAUGGACUCGCGGCUUAUCAGCUUGUUGGUGGGGUAGUGGCUUACCAAGGCUUUGACGGGUAGCCGGCCUGAGAGGGUGACCGGCCACAUUGGGACUGAGAUACGGCCCAGACUCCUACGGGAGGCAGCAGUGGGGAAUAUUGCACAGUGGGCGGAAGCCUGAUGCAGCAACGCCGCGUGCGGGAUGACGGCCUUCGGGUUGUAAACCGCUUUCGCCUGUGACGAAGCGUGAGUGACGGUAAUGGGUAAAGAAGCACCGGCUAACUACGUG
rnacentral:rRNA from 1 species